rnacentral:lncRNA from 1 species
GACACGCCCACCACACCUGGACACGCCCACCGCACCUGGACACGCCCACCGAACCUGGACACGCCCACACCUGGACACGCCCACCGCACCUGGGACACGCCCUGGGACACGCCCACCGCACCUGGACACGCCCACCGAACCUGAACCACACCUGGACACACCCAGGGCCACACCCACCGCACCUGGACACACCCAGGGCCACACCCAUGUUUCUCACCCAUCCCAGGUGUGUCCCACCUGUCCCAGGUGUGUCCCAGGUGUGUCCCAGGUGUGUCCCACCUGUCCCAGGUGUGUCCCAGCUGUCCCAGGUGUGUCCCAGGUGUGUCCCAGGUGUGUCUCACCUGCCCAGGUGUGUCUCACCUGUCCCAGGUGUGUCCCAGGCGUGUCCCAGGUGUGUCCAGGUGUGUCUCACCUGCCCAGGUGUGUCUCACCUGCCCAGGUGUGUCUCACCUGUCCAGGUGUGUCCCAGGUGUGUCCCAGGCAUGUCCCAGGUGUGUCUCACCUGUCCAGGUGUGUCCCAGGCAUGUCCCAGGUGUGUCCCAGGUGUGUCCCAGGUGUGUCCCAGGUGUGUCCAGGUGUGUCCCAGGUGUGUCUCACCUGUCCCAGGUGUGUCCCAGGUGUGUCCCAGGUGUGUCCCAGGCGUGUCCCAGGUGUGUCUCACCUGUCCCAGGUGUGUCCCAGGUGUGUCCCAGGUGUGUCCAGGUGUGUCUCACCUGUCCAGGUGUGUCUCACCUGCCCAGGUGUGUCCCAGGUGUGUCCAGGUGUGUCUCACCUGCCCAGGUGUGUCCAGGUGUGUCCCAGGUGUGUCCCAGGUGUGUCCAGGCGUGUCUCACCUGCCCAGGUGUGUCUCACCUGUCCAGGUGUGUCCCAGGUGUGUCCCAGGUGUGUCCCAGGUGUGUCUCACCUGUCCAGGUGUGUCUCACCUGUCCAGGUGUGUCUCACCUGUCCAGGUGUGUCCCAGGCGUGUCCCAGGCGUGUCUCACCUGUCCAGGCGUGUCUCACCUGCCCAGGUGUGUCCCAGGUGUGUCCCAGGUGUGUCCCACCUGUCCAGGUGUGUCCCAGGUGUGUCCAGGCGUGUCUCACCUGUCCCAGGCGUGUCCCAGGUGUGUCCCAGGUGUGUCCCGGCGUGUCUCACCUGCCCAGGCGUGUCCCAGGUGUGUCUCACCUGUCCAGGUGUGUCCCAGGUGUGUCCAGGUGUGUCUCACCUGUCCCAGGUGUGUCCCAGGCGUGUCUCACCUGUCCAGGUGUGUCCCAGGCGUGUCCCAGGUGUGUCUCACCUGUCCCAGGUGUGUCCCAGGUGUGUCCCAGGCGUGUCCCAGGUGUGUCUC